AGAGUUUGAUCCUGGCUCAGAAUCAACGCUGGCGGCGCGCCUAACACAUGCAAGUCGAACGAGAAAGCGGGAGCAAUCUCGCAAGUACAGUGGCGUACGGGUGAGUAACACGUGGAUUAUCUGCCCUGGAGUGGGGAAUAACGCUGGGAAACCGGCGCUAAUACCGCAUAUUCCCGAGAGGGGAAAGCAGCAAUGCGCUCGAGGAGGAGUCCGCGGCCGAUUAGCUAGUUGGCAGGGUAAAAGCCUACCAAGGCUAUGAUCGGUAGCCGGCCUGAGAGGGCACACGGCCACACUGGCACUGAAACACGGGCCAGACUCCUACGGGAGGCAGCAGUGGGGAAUCUUGCACAAUGGGGGAAACCCUGAUGCAGCGACGCCGCGUGAGCGAUGAAGCCCUUCGGGGUGUAAAGCUCUUUCGGCAGGGACGAUUAUGACGGUACCUGCAGAAGCAGCUGCGGCUAACUACGUGCCAGCAGCCGCGGUAAUACGUAGGCAGCAAGCGUUGUUCGGAGUUACUGGGCGUAAAGGGUGUGUAGGCGGCCUGUUAAGUUCCGUGUGAAAUCUCCCGGCUCAACCGGGAGGGUGCGCGGAAAACUGGCGGGCUAGAGUACGGGAUGGGAGAGUAGAAUUCCUGGUGUAGCGGUGAAAUGCGUAGAUAUCAGGAGGAAUACCGGUGGUGUAGACGGCUCUCUGGACCGUAACUGACGCUGAGACACGAAAGCGUGGGUAGCAAACAGGAUUAGAUACCCUGGUAGUCCACGCCCUAAACGAUGCAUAUUUGGUGUAGGUCAUUCAGUUGAUCUGUGCCGGAGCUAACGCGUUAAAUAUGCCGCCUGGGGAGUACAGUCGCAAGGCUGAAACUCAAAGGAAUUGACGGGGGCCCGCACAAGCGGUGGAGCAUGUGGGUUCAAUUCGACGCAACGCGAAGAACCUUACCUGGGCUCGAACGGCUGGUCAACGAUCGUGGAAACACGGUUACUCCCGCAG
rnacentral:rRNA from 1 species